UUUUUAGCUAGGAUCUUAGAAAUAUGAUCAGUAUUGCCUUGGAUGUAGGGAAGAUAAAUGAGAGCUAGAGGCGGGGAAGAGGGAGGGUUUUUUUUUGGAUUAUAGAAUGGAGGGCUGAGUAGAAAUAUUUAUUCCAUCCCUACGUCCAAGUCAUUACUGAUCAUAUUUCUACGAUCCUGGCUAAAAA
rnacentral:pre_miRNA from 1 species